UAUUACCAUUUCAAAACAAACAUUUCUAUCUCAAAAUAGUUUUAAUUCAAUAUUAAUUAAUAGGACUGCUUUUUUAAUAAGUCGUAUUAUUUAAAUAUUGUAUUUCAAAUUAGUAGUAAAUUAUUUCCUUACGUGCAUUCGUUUUCCAAUAAUAUAUUUACUAUUUUUGGAACGUUUCAUUUUACUGGCAACACAGUGGUAGAUUUGAUGGAAUUUAAUUAUGAAUCAGGGCAUACACAACCUUGACACCCACCCGCUAUCUCCAGUUACCCGUGAACAAGAGGCAUGUAACCGCUUCGAAAUAUCUGGAGCUCAUAAACAAUAUAAAAGGUACUAUUGUCGGGUUGUUCCCAAAUCUUGGAGGCGCGACAUGGAAACCCCGAAGUUUACGGCCAGCACUGGACGGAAAAAAGUCCACAGUUAGAAUACACAAAACAUAAGCAUACCAACAAACAUCCACCGAUUACAUACAGUCGCGGGCAUAAACUUGUUUAAAACAUGUUCUAUUCAAAUGGAAUAAACUAUCAAGUUUUAAUAUUGACAAUAUAGAAGAAUAUACAGAA